rnacentral:tRNA from 1 species
GACAUCGUGGCUGAGUGGUCUAUAGCGGCAGAUUUGAAAUCUGUUGGGAUUUCCCGCGUCAGUUCGAAUCUGGCCGAUGUCU